rnacentral:rRNA from 1 species
GGGUUGUGAGGUUAAGCGACUAAGCGUACACGGUGGAUGCCCUGGCAGUCAGAGGCGAUGAAGGACGUGCUAAUCUGCGAAAAGCGCCGGCGAGGUGAUAUGAACCCUUGACCCGGCGAUGUCCGAAUGGGGAAACCCAGUGUGAUUCGUCACACUAUCGUUAACUGAAUACAUAGGUUAACGAGGCGAACCGGGGGAACUGAAACAUCUAAGUACCCCGAGGAAAAGAAAUCAACCGAGAUUCCCCCAGUAGCGGCGAGCGAACGGGGAGCAGCCCAGAGUCUGAAUCAGCUUGUGUGUUAGUGGAAGCGUCUGGAAAGUCGCACGGUACAGGGUGAAAGUCCCGUACACGAAAAUGCACAGGCUGUGAACUCGAAGAGUAGGGCGGGACACGUGGUAUCCUGUCUGAAUAUGGGGGGACCAUCCUCCAAGGCUAAAUACUCCUGACUGACCGAUAGUGAACCAGUACCGUGAGGGAAAGGCGAAAAGAACCCCGGCGAGGGGAGUGAAAAAGAACCUGAAACCGUGUACGUACAAGCAGUGGGAGCACCUUCGUGGUGUGACUGCGUACCUUUUGUAUAAUGGGUCAGCGACUUAUAUUCUGUAGCAAGGUUAACCGUAUAGGGGAGCCGAAGGGAAACCGAGUCUUAACUGGGCGUUAAGUUGCAGGGUAUAGACCCGAAACCCGGUGAUCUAGCCAUGGGCAGGUUGAAGGUUGGGUAACACUAACUGGAGGACCGAACCGACUAAUGUUGAAAAAUUAGCGGAUGACCUGUGGCUGGGGGUGAAAGGCCAAUCAAACCGGGAGAUAGCUGGUUCUCCCCGAAAGCUAUUUAGGUAGCGCCUCGUGAACUCAUCUUCGGGGGUAGAGCACUGUUUCGGCUAGGGGGCCAUCCCGGCUUACCAACCCGAUGCAAACUACGAAUACCGAAGAAUGUUAUCACGGGAGACACACGGCGGGUGCUAACGUCCGUCGUGAAGAGGGAAACAACCCAGACCGCCAGCUAAGGUCCCAAAGUCAUGGUUAAGUGGGAAACGAUGUGGGAAGGCCCAGACAGCCAGGAUGUUGGCUUAGAAGCAGCCAUCAUUUAAAGAAAGCGUAAUAGCUCACUGGUCGAGUCGGCCUGCGCGGAAGAUGUAACGGGGCUAAACCAUGCACCGAAGCUGCGGCAGCGAC